rnacentral:rRNA from 1 species
GACGAACGCUGGCGGCGUGCUUAACACAUGCAAGUCGAACGGAAAGGCCCUGCUUUUGUGGGGUGCUCGAGUGGCGAACGGGUGAGUAACACGUGAGUAACCUGCCCUUGACUUUGGGAUAACUUCAGGAAACUGGGGCUAAUACCGGAUAGGAGCUCCUGCUGCAUGGUGGGGGUUGGAAAGUUUCGGCGGUUGGGGAUGGACUCGCGGCUUAUCAGCUUGUUGGUGGGGUAGUGGCUUACCAAGGCUUUGACGGGUAGCCGGCCUGAGAGGGUGACCGGCCACAUUGGGACUGAGAUACGGCCCAGACUCCUACGGGAGGCAGCGGUGGGGAAUAUUGCACAAUGAGCGGAAGCCUGAUGCAGCAACGCAGCGCGCGGGAUGACGGCCUGCGGGUUGUAAACCGCUUUCGCCUGUGACGAGGCGUGAGUGACGGUAAUGGGUAAAGAAGCACCGGCUAACUACGUG